GCAGAUGUGGCGGAAUUGGUAUACGCGCAUGGCUUAGGACCAUGUGGGGCUUAAACCUCGUGAGAGUUCGAGUCUCUCCAUCUGCA
rnacentral:tRNA from 1 species